rnacentral:rRNA from 1 species
CGGAAUGGGCGAAAGCCUGAUCAGCCUGCCGCGUGUGUGAAGAAGGCCUUUUGGUUGUAAAGCACUUUAAGCGAGGAGGAGGCUACUUGGAUUAAUACUCUAGGAUAGUGGACGUUACUCGCAGAAUAAGCACCGGCUAACUCUGUGCCAGCAGCCGCGGUAAUACAGAGGGUGCGAGCGUUAAUCGGAUUUACUGGGCGUAAAGCGUGCGUAGGCGGCUUUUUAAGUCGGAUGUGAAAUCCCUGAGCUUAACUUAGGAAUUGCAUUCGAUACUGGGAAGCUAGAGUAUGGGAGAGGAUGGUAGAAUUCCAGGUGUAGCGGUGAAAUGCGUAGAGAUCUGGAGGAAUACCGAUGGCGAAGGCAGCCAUCUGGCCUAAUACUGACGCUGAGGUACGAAAGCAUGGGGAGC